UACAGAGGUCCCAAGCGUUGUUCGGAUUCACUGGGCGUAAAGGGUGCGUAGGCGGUCGGGUAAGUCUGAUGUGAAAUCUCACAGCUUAACUGUGAAACUGCAUUGGAUACUAUCCGGCUAGAGGAAUGGAGGGGAGACUGGAAUACUUGGUGUAGCAGUGAAAUGCGUAGAGAUCCGGAGGAACACCAAAGGCGAAGGCAGUGUCCUGGGGAGUACCUGACGCUCAAGUGCGAAAGCCAGGGGAGCGAACGGG
rnacentral:rRNA from 1 species